AAAUCUAAUCCUUCGCAUGCAGAUUUAAUGUGUUGUGUAUACUCUACCCAGUUGGCUUUUUUGAUGUUUCUUUUUAAUUCGGGACUAAUUUGAGUACUCUCUAACGUUUUAAUAGAAAUAAUAAGGUGGUCACUGCCAAAAGAUUCGUUAGUGACAUUCCAAUCAAAGUCGAGUGAGAGAUCAGCACUACAAAAAGAGACAUCAGGUGAUGUGCAUACUAUACUAUUAUUAAGCUGGGCACAACGGGUAAAGUCUCCAUUGUUAAGAAAUACGUAGUUAUGUUCUAAGCUAGUGUCCGAUAAAAGCCUACCCCGUGUGUCAGUUGUGUAUGACCAAGCCGUGUGAUGAGCAUUAAAAUUUGUUCCUGAGUCAUGGAUGUUUUCUAUGUAUUUAUGUAUUUGUAUAUUAUAUAUAUCGUUGUCUGAGUACCCACAACACAAGCCUUAUUGAGCUUACUGUGGGACUUAGUCAAUUUGUGUAAAAAUGUC